GACGAACGCUGGCGGCGUGCUUAACACAUGCAAGUCGAACGGAAAGGCCCUGCUUUUGUGGGGUGCUCGAGUGGCGAACGGGUGAGUAACACGUGAGUAACCUGCCCUUGACUUUGGGAUAACUUCAGGAAACUGGGGCUAAUACCGGAUAGGAGCUCCUGCUGCAUGGUGGGGGUUGGAAAGUUUCGGUGGUUGGGGAUGGACUCGCGGCUUAUCAGCUUGUUGGUGGGGUAGUGGCUUACCAAGGCUUUGACGGGUAGCCGGCCUGAGAGGGUGACCGGCCACAUUGGGACUGAGAUACGGCCCAGACUCCUACGGGAGGCAGCAGUGGGGAAUAUUGCACAAUGGGCGGAAGCCUGAUGCAUCAACGCCGCGUGCGGGAUGACGGCCUUCGGGUUGUAAACCGCUUUCGCCUGUGACGAAGCGUGAGUGACGGUAAUGGGUAAAGAAGCACCGGCUAACUACGUG
rnacentral:rRNA from 1 species